UAUAUGAUUUGAUUGUACACCUCUUUGAUAUAUCAUUUCGAUAACAUCUUUGUUCCUCAAUCUGGUAAAAAAAUUUUACUCAAUUUGAUAACAUCUCUCAGCUAAAUCAUUUCAAUAGCAUCUUUUUGUGCUGCGAAUAUUUUUUUUUUUUUGAUUUGUAGAUUUAUAUUAUUGUUUAUAAUUAUAAGCUUAUAUGUACACAUAUUUGUUUUCUGGUUUGCUGAUUGUGAUUUUGUUUUAUAUUUUUUUCAGAGAUGAUUUGAGAGAAGUGGUCAUAUUUCAGACCUCUAAGAGUUCACCAUUCCGAUCCUGCAAAAGAUGUGCACUUAGAAUGGUAUUUUCUCUAUUGUACAUCAAAAUUGGAUAAUCAAUUAUAUUUUUAAAAUAUCUAUAGUAGGAUGGUAUUUUCUCUACUGAAAUAAUAUCUUAUUUCCUAAUCUCAUGCUUUAAUAUUUAAACUUUAAGGACAAGAUUUGUUAAUUAAAUCAUUAGUGUAAACUACUCCCGAGAUAUUCUCUUUUUUAUAUUUAAAAUGUAAUUUUAGUAACAAUAACAUCCAAAAAAAUACCUCGAUUGAGUAACGUGGUAGACAAAAUACAUGUAAGCAGAAGAGCUUGGUAGAUAUAAUUUUUUGCAGGUUUCUAAUUGAAUUUGCUUUCUUUAUCGAGAAAUGUACUUCAUAAUUUAUAUUAUUUAUGGAUAAUAUUUUGAUUUUUAUUAUAUUUUCUUUUAAUAUGUCUACAUAAAUGUUUGUUUAUUAUUUAUAGAAAAAUAAUAUUAUUCACCGAAAAUAAAGAAUUACGACACAUAUACAAUACAAUUUUAAUUAAUGAUAAUAUAAAAUCUGUUAUUUCUAAAACUAUACACUCUUUAUUCUAUUUUUUGAAUGAAAGUAUCUUCGUAAACACACAAAAUAUUUUGUGACGUUGCAAUUAUACAUACACACAAUAUAUGCCUCUUCAUACUAACGUUACUGUGUUCCCUCUCGUGAAGUGCGGAUCGAGAGGGAACACAGAGUGCGGGCCGGUCAUGUUCUUAUGCCCGCACAGGGUGCGGGCCGGUCACCUAGU
rnacentral:lncRNA from 1 species